rnacentral:rRNA from 1 species
UGGGGAAUCUUGCGCAAUGGGCGAAAGCCUGACGCAGCAACGCCGCGUGCGGGAUGAAGGCCCUCGGGUCGUAAACCGCUUUCAGCAGGAACGAAAAUGACGGUACCUGCAGAAGAAGGUCCGGCCAACUACGUGCCAGCAGCCGCGGUAACACGUAGGGACCAAGCGUUGUCCGGAUUUAUUGGGCGUAAAGAGCUCGUAGGCGGUUCAGUCAGUCGGGUGUGAAAUCUCCGGGCUCAACUCGGAGGGGCCACCCGAUACUGCUGGACUAGAGUUCGGUAGGGGAGCGGGGAAUUCCUGGUGUAGCGGUGAAAUGCGCAGAUAUCAGGAGGAACACCGGUGGCGAAGGCGCCGCUCUGGGCCGAUACUGACGCUGAGGAGCGAAAGCGUGGGUAGCAAACAGG